AUUGAACGCUGGCGGCAUGCCUUACACAUGCAAGUCGAACGGUAACAGGUCUUCGGAUGCUGACGAGUGGCGAACGGGUGAGUAAUACAUCGGAACGUGCCCGAUCGUGGGGGAUAACGCAGCGAAAGCUGUGCUAAUACCGCAUACGAUCUACGGAUGAAAGCGGGGGAUCGCAUGAACUCGCGCGGACGGAGCGGCCGAUGGCAGAUUAGGUAGUUGGUGGGAUAAAAGCUUACCAAGCCGACGAUCUGUAGCUGGUCUGAGAGGACGACCAGCCACGCUGGGACUGAGACACGGCCCAGACUCCUACGGGAGGCAGCAGUGGGGAAUUUUGGACAAUGGGCGCAAGCCUGAUCCAGCCAUGCCGCGUGCAGGAUGAAGGCCUUCGGGUUGUAAACUGCUUUUGUACGGAACGAAAAAGUUCUCUCUAAUACAGGGGGCGAAUGACGGUACCGUAAGAAUAAGCACCGGCUAACUACGUGCCAGCCGCCGCGGUAAGAC
rnacentral:rRNA from 1 species